CCCUUAGAUGUUCUGGGCUGCACGCGUGUUACAAUCGGGAGUACAACAAGAUUGCAAAUCCUAGGGGAUGAGUGGUUCUUCGAAAUUUUCUGAAGACUGGGAUAGUUGAUUGAAAUUAUUCAACUCAAACGAGGAAUUCCUUGUAAUUGUAAUUCAUUAUAUUGUAAUGAAUACGUCCCUGCCCUUUGUACACACCGCCCGUCGCUCCUACCGAUUGAACGAUCCGGUGAAUUAUUUGGAGUAGCUCUGGAAGUUGCAGAACUUCCUAUGUCACGAAAUUUUGUAAACCUUAUCGUUUAGAGGAAGGAAAAGUCGUAACA
rnacentral:rRNA from 1 species